rnacentral:lncRNA from 1 species
AGCAUUUCUUCUCCCCAGGGAACACUCCCAUGCUCUGAACAGCAGCAGCACUGUGAGGAUAACCCCAGCGUGGGCAGGGGGCUGACUCAUCUCUCCAGAAGAUUAACACUGUUUAUUAAUCACUGCUCCUUUGAAGUGAAAAAAUGGAGGAAACCUCUCGUGGCCAACGUUGUGAUUAGCCAUCUAAUUGUUCUACUGUGCCCAGGAGUAGGACCAGUCACGGUGGAAGCCACAGGGGAGAUUUCUGUGGAUCAGAUGGGAAAUCACUGGAUGCCCUCAGGACUGGUUGCUGCAGCUUCCAUCUCUUCCCUGGCUGUGGACACCUUCUCCUACUCUGCCAUCCUGCGCUACUCCAGGAAGAGCUGGAGGAGACAGAAGGUGUGAAUGGACAGCCAAGACCGAGCAGAGCCAAGGGACUGGCUUGGCUCUGGAAGGCAAAAUGCAAGCUGAGCCAUUGGAGCCGGCUGUACACAGAUGAGAAGGAAAAUGCACAAAGUGAUAAAUAACUUUGCUUAGGCUGCCAGGAAGGGCUGCCAGAACAUUCUCGCUUGGCUAUGCUCUGACUUGGCUCGCCUGCCGCCGCCAGCCCCCUCCUGCACAGACGAAAUGCCGGGCCAGAGCCACACAUGCAUUCAGGGCAGGCUCACCGCGUCCACCCGCUGGCCAGCCGGCCCUCGGACAGCACCUCUGCUGUGCCCCUCCUGUGUGGAGCCCACCCUGUGCCC